UUUCCGUAGGUGAACCUGCGGAGGGAUCAUUACUGAGCGAGGGUCUAACCGCCCGACCUCCAACCCUUUGUGAAUCGUACUCGUUGCUUCGGGGGCGACCCUGCCGUCCGCGGCUGAGCGCCCCCGGGGUCAAUCAAACACUGCAUUCUCUGCGUCGGAGUUUAAGUAAAUUUAAACAAAACUUUCAACAACGGAUCUCUUGGUUCUGGCAUCGAUGAAGAACGCAGC
rnacentral:misc_RNA from 1 species